ACGAAUUCCUAUUCUUUCUUUUCAUAUCCUUUCUUUUCAUUUCUCUAUCUACUGCUUUCCUUUUCCUUAGUCUAUUCCCCUUGUUCAUGAAUGGCCAUUGUGUCGGCAAUUAGCGGCACUACAAUACACAUCGAUUAUUUCAUCUCCUUAAUUUUGUAAGCGAUCUUUGUGCAAAUGAGGCAUCUUGUAGAUAUUUCUGCCUUGAUCUUUCAUGACUGCUUGGAGUGUGAUGAAGCUCUUGAACAACUUAUGGGCAUCAUAGUUCUCAAACUCCUCCUCUACACCGUGUAUCAGUUCCCGGAUAUUCAUAGGCGCUCUGUAGUCGGUUAGGGAUUGGAGAGAGCGGUGGAAGCACGGGUCUAAAACAUUGAACUCGGGGCUGUUUUAGGUUGUUAUAACAAUCGAAUGUCCAAAUCUGUUUGUUCCACUGCUUCUCGAAAACCUGCAUCAUUAGGGAGGACAUGAGGCCUUGCAUUAUCCUGUUGAAUGAAUAUUGUGGUGCCCUCGUCGUCGUCGGGCCACUUGUCUUGGAUUGCGAGGAUUACUUUAUUGAUCAAGUACUCUCUCCAUACAUGUCUGGUUACCUUCACUGGUUUCACCUCAAUUGUUCCUCUAUCUCUAUUUUGACUGCUCCACUGUGCCUUAGUCUCAACAACAAAUGCCCAAGUGCCAAUCUUUCCAUUGAAUGUGAUCUCCUCAUCGUCGUUGUAUCAGGGAUUUGCCACGACGGUCAAGAACAUGACCUUCCCAAUGUUGUUAGUGUUUGACACGGUGCGCUCGGGUUCAGUUUCUCAGGGCAGUACAUAAUAAUUGUUCUUAACUCUGGUCAUAUCAUACCAUUUCUCGUCUAUAUGAAUCAUAUUAUUCAUUGAUUUGAAGCUAGGAUAUGGGGUUGAUAUCCAGUGCUCAUCCAUCAUGGAUAUGCAUAAUUUCAGUCUCGCUAUCUGGUUGUCUGGCUUGAGGAAGGGCUUGACUGUCUUUGUGAUGUGUUUCGGCUCUUGCAACUGAAACCUAUCGUGUAGCAUCGAGCGGGGAACACCCAAACACCUUGCAAGAGAUCGGAUCGUUCUUCUUCUAUUCAACGGGGUUGUAGUUGUUCUCGACAGAUCUAGCUCUUUCCUCUUCCUACCAGUGUUUCCCUUCUUCUUGUUUGAAACAUCAACUUCUU
rnacentral:lncRNA from 1 species